GACGAACGCUGGCGGCGUGCCUAAUACAUGCAAGUCGAGCGGACGAAUCGAAAGCUUGCUUUUGAUUCGUUAGCGGCGGACGGGUGAGUAACACGUGGGCAACCUGCCCUGUAGACGGAGAUAACACCGAGAAAUCGGUGCUAAUACCGGAUAACACGAAAUGUCGCAUGACGUUUCGUUGAAAGACGGCGCAAGCUGCCGCUACAGGAUGGGCCCGCGGCGCAUUAGCUAGUUGGUGAGGUAACGGCUCACCAAGGCGACGAUACGUAGCCGACCUGAGAGGGUGAUCGGCCACACUGGGACUGAGACACGGCCCAGACUCCUGCGGGAGGCAGCAGUAGGGAAUCUUCCGCAAUGGACGAAAGUCUGACGGAGCAACGCCGCGUGAGCGAAGAAGGCCUUCGGGUCGUAAAGCUCUGUUGUUAGGGAAGAACAAGUAACGCAGUAACUGGCGUUACCGUGACGGUACCUAACGAGAAAGCCACGGCUAACUACGUG
rnacentral:rRNA from 1 species